rnacentral:rRNA from 1 species
UGGAUUAGCGGCGGACGGGUGAGUAGCACGUGAGUAACCUGCCUUAGACAUUGGGAUAGCCUCGGGAAACCGGGAUUAAUACCAAAUAAAAUCAUAAUGACACAUGUCAUAACGAUCAAAACUCCGGUGGUCUAAGAUGGACUCGCGUCCCAUUAGCUAGUUGGUAGAGUAAAAGCCUACCAAGGCGACGAUGGGUAGCCGGCCUGAGAGGGUGAACGGCCACAUUGGAACUGAGAAACGGUCCAA